rnacentral:piRNA from 1 species
UAAUGGCAAUAGUGUGGACACUGCGUUGA